CCGACCUUAGCUCAGUUGGUAGAGCGGAAGACUGUAGUAGUACUGCUGAAAUCUUUAGGUCGCUGGUUCGAAUCCGGCAGGUCGGA
rnacentral:tRNA from 1 species